rnacentral:pre_miRNA from 1 species
AAAGUACUCCCUCCGUCCCAAAAUUCUUGUUUUAGAUUUGUCUAGAUACGGAUGUAUCAAGUCACAUUUUAGUAUUAGAUACAUCUGUAUCUAGACAAAUCUAAGACAAGAAAUUUGGGACAGAGGGAGUAGUUG